GACCCAAUGGCACAGUGGUUAAUGCACUUGCUUUAUUUGCAUAUGAACGACACGUUAAGUGAGAGAUCCCCGUUCAAUUCGGGGUUGGGUCA